rnacentral:rRNA from 1 species
UUAGAGUUUGAUCUUGGCUCAGGAUGAACGCUGGCGGCGUGCCUAAUACAUGCAAGUCGAGCGAACGGACGAGAAGCUUGCUUCUCUGAUGUUAGCGGCGGACGGGUGAGUAACACGUGGAUAACCUACCUAUAAGACUGGGAUAACUUCGGGAAACCGGAGCUAAUACCGGAUAAUAUUUUGAACCGCAUGGUUCAAAAGUGAAAGACGGUCUUGCUGUCACUUAUAGAUGGAUCCGCGCUGCAUUAGCUAGUUGGUAAGGUAACGGCUUACCAAGGCAACGAUGCAUAGCCGACCUGAGAGGGUGAUCGGCCACACUGGAACUGAGACACGGUCCAGACUCCUACGGGAGGCAGCAGUAGGGAAUCUUCCGCAAUGGGCGAAAGCCUGACGGAGCAACGCCGCGUGAGUGAUGAAGGUCUUCGGAUCGUAAAACUCUGUUAUUAGGGAAGAACAUAUGUGUAAGUAACUGUGCACUCUGACGACC